CUUGAUCGGACCUACGGAUAUUCAGAUCAUCCUCGGGAAGGUGCGCCCUUUCCUACGCCACCCCCCGAGGCU
rfam:Mycobacterium llatzerense strain CLTC14 Mllat_contig000064, whole genome shotgun sequence.